rnacentral:sRNA from 1 species
GCUGGGUGCGGUGGCACACCUGUAAUCCCAGCAGCUACGGAGGCUGCGGCAGGAGGAUCACGAGUUCAAAACCAGCCUCAGCAACUUAGUGAGGCUCUAAGCAACUUGGUGAGACCCUGUCUCUA